UAACACAUGCAAGUCGAACGAAGUAGCAAUACUUAGUGGCAGACGGGUGAGUAACAUGUAGGUAUCUACCCUUUGGCCUGGAAUAACACGAGGAAACUUGUGCUAAUACCGGAUAAGUCUUUACGGAGAAAGCUUUAUGCACCAUUGGAGGAGCCUGCACUUGAUUAGUUUGUUGGUGGGGUAAUGGCCUACCAAGACUUUGAUCAAUAGCUGAUUUGAGAGGAUGAUCAGCCACAUUGGGACUGAGACACGGCCCAAACUCCUACGGGAGGCAGCAGUGGGGAAUCUUGCACAAUGGAGGAAACUCUGAUGCAGCGAUGCCGCGUGAGUGAAGAAGGCCUUUGGGUUGUAAAGCUCUUUCGUCGGGGAAGAAAAUGACUGUACCCGAAUAAGAAGGUCCGGCUAACUUCGUGCCAGCAGCCGCGGUAAUACGAAGGGACCUAGCGUAGUUCGGAUUUACUGGGCUUAAAGAGUUCGUAGGUGGUUGAAAAAGUUGGUGGUGAAAUCCCAGAGCUUAACUCUGGAACUGCCAUCAAAACUUUUCAGCUAGAGUAUGAUAGAGGAAAGCAGAAUUUCUAGUGUAGAGGUGAAAUUCGUAGAUAUUAGAAAGAAUACCAAUUGCGAAGGCAGCUUUCUGGAUCAUUACUGACACUGAGGAACGAAAGCAUGGGUAGCGAAGAGGAUUAGAUACCCUCGUAGUCCAUGCCGUAAACGAUGUGUGUUAGACGUUGGAAAUUUAUUUUCAGUGUCGCAGCGAAAGCGAUAAACACACCGCCUGGGGAGUACGACCGCAAGGUUAAAACUCAAAUGAAUUGACGGGGACCCGCACAAGUAGUGGAGCAUGUGGUUUAAUUCGAAGAUACGCGCAGAACCUUACCAACACUUGACAUGUUCGUCGCGACUCUAAGAGAUUAGAGUUUUCGGUUCGGCCGGACGAAACACAGGUGCUGCAUGGCUGUCGUCAGCUCGUGUCGUGAGAUGUUGGGUUAAGUCCCGCAACGAGCGCAACCCUCACUUUUAGUUGCCAUCAUUAAGUUGGGCACUCUGAAAGAACUGCCAGUGAUAAGCUGGAGGAAGGUGGGGAUGACGUCAAGUCCUCAUGGCCCUUACGUGUUGGGCUACACACGUGCUACAAUGGUAUCUACAACAGGAAGCAAGACUGCGAGGUCAAGCAAAUCCUUAAAAGAUACCUCAGUUCGGAUUGCACUCUGCAACUCGAGUGCAUGAAGCUGGAAUUACUAGUAAUCGUGGAUCAGCGUGCCACGGUGAAUGCGUUCCCGGGUCUUGUACACACCGCCCGUCACACCAUGGGAGUUGGUUCUACCUUAAGGCAAGGUUUUAAACCCUUCACCACGGUAUAGUCAGCGACUGGGGUG
rnacentral:rRNA from 1 species